GAUGAACGCUGGCGGCGUGCCUAAUACAUGCAAGUCGAGCGAAGCGAGGACGGGUGAGUACUACGUGGAUACCCUCAUUUAAGACUGGGAUAACUUCGGGAAACCGGAGCUAAACCGGAUCCUUAUAGUUGGAUCCGCGCUGCAUUAGCUAGUUGGUAAGGUAACGGCUUACCAAGGCAACGAUGCGUAGCCGACCUGAGAGGGUGAUCGGCCACACUGGAACUGAGACACGGUCCAGACUCCUACGGGAGGCAGCAGUAGGGAAUCUUCGGCAAUGGGCGAAAGCCUGACGGAGCAACGCCGCGGGAGUGAUGAAGGUCUUCGGAUCGUAAAACUCUGUUAUUAGGGAAGCGGUACCUAAUCAGAAAGCCACGGCUAACUACGUGCCAGCAGCCGCGGUAAUUC
rnacentral:rRNA from 1 species